AUUGAACGCUGGCGGCAGGCCUAACACAUGCAAGUCGAACGGUAACAGGAAGAAGCUUGCUUCUUUGCUGACGAGUGGCGGACGGGUGAGUAAUGCCUGGGAAACUGCCUGAUGGAGGGGGAUAACUACUGGAAACGGUAGCUAAUACCGCAUAACGUCGCAAGACCAAAGAGGGGGACCUUCGGGCCUCUUGCCAUCGGAUGUGCCCAGAUGGGAUUAGCUAGUAGGUGGGGUAACGGCUCACCUAGGCGACGAUCCCUAGCUGGUCUGAGAGGAUGACCAGCCACACUGGAACUGAGACACGGUCCAGACUCCUACGGGAGGCAGCAGUGGGGAAUAUUGCACAAUGGGCGCAAGCCUGAUGCAGCCAUGCCGCGUGUAUGAAGAAGGCCUUCGGGUUGUAAAGUACUUUCAGCGGGGAGGAAGGGAGUAAAGUUAAUACCUUUACUCAUUGACGUUACCCGCAGAAGAAGCACCGGCUAACUCCGUG
rnacentral:rRNA from 1 species